rnacentral:sRNA from 1 species
GUGAUCUGCUGUGAGGGGAAUGCUGGGUUUUAUGAGGUGGGCUGCGUCUCCACGCCCCUGGAAGCUGGAUAUUCAGUCCUGGGCUGGAAUCAUCCAGGCUUUGCUGGAAGCACGGGGGUGCCAUUCCCGCAGAAUGAGGCUAAUGCCAUGGAUGUGGUGGUCCAGUUUGCCAUCCGCCGCCUGGGCUUCCAGCCCCAGGACAUCAUCAUCUACGCCUGGUCCAUCGGCGGCUUCACUGCCACGUGGGCAGCCAUGUCCUACCCGGAUGUUAGUGCCAUGAUCCUGGAUGCCUCCUUUGAUGACCUGGUGCCCUUGGCCUUGAAGGUCAUGCCAGACAGCUGGAGUGAGUGCAGCUCCCAGGCCUGCCAUUCCUGGGAAGGGGUGGGCUGGAACUGGGAACUGUUCUGAGAUGGCUCCCUUUUCUUGGGUGGGGAGUAAGUCACCCCAUUGUUGGAAGCAGGAGGACUCCUUUGUCUGGGGGCCUCAGUUUUCUUUCUCCGUGAAUAGUGAGGACCUUUAUGUUGGGCAAGGGCUUUGUCUCUGCCAUCCCUUCACCUUUAUCCCACUCUAGGGGGCCUGGUGACCAGGACCGUGAGGCAGCAUCUCAAUCUAAACAACGCGGAGCAGCUGUGCAGAUACCAGGGUCCUGUACUGCUGAUCCGGAGAACCAAGGAUGAGAUCAUCACCACCACGGUUCCUGAGGACAUCAUGUCCAACCGAGGCAAUGACCUCCUGCUGAAGCUCCUGCAGCAUCGGUAUCCCCGGGUGAUGGCAGAGGAGGGUCUUCGAGUGGUGAGGCAGUGGUUGGAGGCCUCCUCACAGCUGGAGGAAGCCUCAAUUUAUAGCCGAUGGGAGGUGGAAGAGGACUGGUGUCUGUCUGUCCUCCGCUCCUACCAGGCAGAACACGGGCCCGACUUCCCCUGGAGCGUGGGGGAGGACAUGAGUGCAGAUGGACGGCGGCAGCUGGCUUUGUUUCUGGCUCGGAAGCAUCUGCACAACUUUGAGGCCACUCACUGCACCCCACUCCCAGCCCAGAACUUCCAGAUGCCCUGGCAUCUCUAGGGACCAACUGGGACUCAUUAUGGAAGAAUGGGGUGAGAGGAGACAUGAGGAAAGACCCUCUUAUUUGUGAUUCUCUGUGUUCAUGUUGCUGUUUAUAGUUUGUGGAAAGUGGGGGACCAUCCCCCUUCUCACCACUGUUCCUCUUGCACGUUUCCCCUCAUUCAUGUGGCUGUACUUAACCUUCUCCAACAUACAUCCUGCAUUACAUGAAUGGAUUAUUCCUAAUAAUUAAUAAAAAGGUAUUUUUUCUACUAUCU